GUGCUCGCUUCGGCAGCACAUACACUAAAAAUUGGAGCAAUACAGAGAUUAGCACGGCCCCUGCACAAGGACGACACGCAAAUUCGUUAAGCGUUCCAUAUUUUU
ensembl:snRNA U6 U6 spliceosomal RNA